AGCAAGCAGAGUCCAGCCCCCAGGCUGCCUGUUUCCACUGCAGCCAACUAAAACACAGCUGGUAUUUGUGAGGUAAUUCUGACUGCAGGGACAGAAAAGGCUGCCACGCAUCCCAGAGUGUGAGGGACAACUCAAAGAAUUCAGGACAUCCCCAGUGAAGCAAGAGGGGACACCUGGAAAUGUAACUGGGAGCAAAGUCUCUUCACCAUUGUGUGGCAGCAUACUGCACCUUACAGUAUGAAAAGGAGAAGGGAUUCCUCUGACUGUUUCCAGGUAAAGAAGACCCUUCCAAGUGAGAAUGAGGAGGAGAAAAGCCUUGACUUUGUUCUGACAGCUUCCAAAACAAUGUCACACACUGGAGACUGGCACCUCAAGUGUGAGAGCAGACUGCCACAGCACAAACAAAAGGCUCCAAAAGAAGCAAGCAGUGGUUUUAAAGAGGGAGCCUCUAACUUAAGAAUGAAAAUUGUAAACUAUGACUGCUAGUUACAUCAGUCAUUAUGCUGCUGCCAACAAAAUGACUCCCUCACUCAGUUAAGCCACCCAAACACCCUGCUUUUACUAAUGACUGUUGCUAGACCUUGCCCAGCUGCAAAGAACAGUCCUGGAGCCAUCAACAAACACCCAGGGAGGGAUCAGACCAUCUACCAGCUAGGACUUCACAGCCAACACACCAUCUGGGACACAGUCUUCACUGAUCUGAAAUGGAUGAGAACUGACAAGCUAAAUGUUCAUCCCAGAAGUCCCCUGCCAGCAGGUAGCUGCUAGGUGACCUCUGGAAAGGUAAUUCAGCCAACUGGAUUUGGUCCAAUUCGGAGUGCACAGAUCUCCAAAAACUAACAGUAUUACUGCAAGACAAACAGAUCUGCAUAACAGCUACCUGCUUGCUGCUGCCUGGGAACAGCCCCUCCAUUUCAGGAGAGAACUCUGCUAGUUAGCAGAGUUAGCAGUCUUCCUGCUCCAACUGGGAAAGAAAUGUACCUGCAUUGAAACAGCUUGUGAUAUAACCUAGAGAGACAGAUGUAUUUCUUAAACAGUAGAGUAAGUCUGUACCUGUUGGAACCGGAAUGAUUCUGAUCUCUUUUUCUGAUUCAGUUGCCACUCCUUAAAAUGAAGUACAGCUUCAUCCACAGUGAGUAUGCCCA